UCGGAGUGGUCUCGUUCAACUUUGCGUUUCCCAACGUGUAAUCGUACCUUCUUCACAUCGUCACGCAGACUGGCGACGUUCAUCGUGCGAGCGCUUUCUGUUGGAGCCGUUGGAGGCAUCCGGAGGUUAGCUGUGGAGCACAACUACCGCCAUGCCUUUGAAGUACUGCGUUGUGGACUUCUGCCCUAGCAGAGUCGGAGACGGUGCGACCUUUCCACAAGUUCCCUCGGAACGGUGCGCAAAGGGACACUUGGACAGACUUGGUUCGUGCUACAGGGCGGAACUGUUGGACGCCGAGAAAGACUAGUGCGGUUUGCUCACUGCACUUUUCGUCGGACUCGUACCGUAGUCAGUAUGCGGCCGACUUCGGGAUCCCGGCGAAGCGCUGCCUGAAACCCGAUGCCGUGCCGACGGUGUAUCCCGCUUGCGCUUGCAGUCUCCUUCAACGUGGGACUGGAGCAACUUCACCGAAGCCUCAGUGCAUCGCUGGAGUUGACAGCGAUCAUGAUAAUUCCUGUGACACGACAGCCAUGGACGAAGUAUCUGCGAGUUAGUUUUGAUCGCACCCUUAUGUGCAAAGUGCCGAGAAUACGAAAUAUCAACUAGUAUAGGCGAUUUUUGACAUAUAGAUGCGCCGGGUCUCAAAUCUGUGUUUCAAAUUCUUGAUCUAAGGCGUCGCUGCGGUCGAGCAAUUGCCGGCAGAAUAAUCGCGAGGCUAGUCUUACCAGUAGCUUCAUACGUAAACCUCAACUCAGAUCAACUUGGCGCAUGAGGUUACUGAUAAUUAAACCCACACUAAAGGAA